AAAUGCUCAUCCUGCUUCUUGUGAUAGCUUUAAGCUUCAUAAACUAUAAACUAUAAACUAUUGGAUGACGCAGAGCCAAUUUGAUGUGCCUAUUGUCCACGUUAUCGAUGCAUAAAUAUCCAUCACCAACCGGACGCAACGUUGAGUGAGGCACAAUCCG
rnacentral:misc_RNA from 1 species